UGUGGCUGUAAGAAUAAUUGACAAUUGUGCGGAACAAAGGGCAUUAAGGGCUGGGGAGGAAGGGGUGCGAAUGCGGGCUUUGUUGCAAAAAGCCGGGCAGGCCCCGCCUGUCGAGCCGCCCAGACCGCUCGGCGUACCAUCUGACGCAACCUGGCUCACAUAGAGCGAGACGAAAAUAGCUUUGGAACUGUCGCCAAAGCGAGACGGCGGUUCCAUCCGAGAGGGCGGCCUCAUUCGUAACGCAACACACUGCGGCGUCGCCCACAAUUCCGCUCAUUCGCUUCUCGUUGAGCGUCCGCUAUGUAAACGGGCCUUGUUGUGAAUCUAAACAAAAUCAGUCAGUCAUCGUUUUGUUGCCGUGAGAGAAGCGCGUCGACGUACCGCGUUCGGGUUCUGAUCAUGUUGUGGCAGUGAACGUAUGGACACGAUGCACGCGUUGUUCGGGGAACAGGGCCACUACGCGUACCGCGGCGGAGCCACGGGGGGCUACUCCGCCGGGGUCACGCCGUACGCGUACGAGCAGUACCAUCGCUACGGGUACGGGCCGCCCUACCUGCACCCUCACCAACAACAUGUCGGCACUCCCAAAGACAUGGUCAAACCGCCGUACUCCUACAUUGCUCUCAUCGCAAUGGCAAUACAAAACGCACCGGACCGUCGAAUAACACUCAACGGUAUCUAUCAGUUCAUAAUGGAACGUUUUCCUUACUACAGAGAAAAUAAACAGGGUUGGCAGAACUCCAUUAGGCACAAUUUAAGUCUUAAUGAAUGUUUCGUGAAAGUUGCGAGAGACGAUAAGAAACCCGGUAAAGGGAGCUACUGGACUCUGGAUCCUGACUCGUACAACAUGUUCGACAACGGGUCCUACUUGAGACGACGGCGCCGCUUUAAGAAAAAAGAUGCCCUUAAAGAAAAAGAGGAGGCGUUAAAGCGACAGCAACAGCUGCAACAGGCUCAGGAAGCGCUGGCGGCACAAGAGGCACUCGGCUCCACCGACGCGUUAGGUCAAGCGCGAGACGUCAAGCCAGACGUUAAGCCACGAAUAUUCGAAUGCAGACCUAAACGGGAGCCAGGUUCUGAUUGUACGAGAUACGACAAACUGACGGAACCGAUAGACGACUUCAGCGAACCCCGAUUACCUCCGUCGGCAGUGUACUGUUCGCCGCAGCCGUACGCUCUCGCCGCGGAGGAGUUCCGCGCGGCCACGAGCGGCUGGUACGCCGCGCCCGAGCCGCCGGCGGAGCAGCUGCCGCCCGGCUUCCGCGACCUGUUCGAGCCGCCCAGCUGCCAGCUCGCCGGCUUCCGCGGCGGCUCGCCCACGCCGGACCCGUACCGCGCGUCCCCGCCGCACCACCACUACCGCGCGCCGGCGCCCUCCUACUACCACCACCAGGCGUGCGUGGCCGCCGCUCCCGCUGCCGCUCAUAAAUCCUACUGAGAUGCUCUCAGGAGGCCGGCAUCGCACGGCGCCGAACGGAUUUAGCCGUCCGCGUCAGUUCCAGAGCGGAUAAAUAUAGCGCGGUAGCCGGAGAUGCCGUGAAGCCAAGUGGCGGCGCGUCGAUAACCACUGUUUACAGAUCGGCGGCCGCCCUGCCGCCUCCCGCUCCGUUCACUGCUGUACCGAGGUAGAACGGAAUGAAGACAGCGGGAGGCGAAUGGCAGGGGAAACAUGGUUAAUUCAUUGAACCUAUUUUUUCUUAGUUACGCUGUGAAAAGUGAACAACUUUGAUCAACGAAUUAAAAAUUUAUGGUGUUUGUGACUAGAUAUUCCAUUAAGGAUACGAGUAUUCAAAUCUGAGUGACUGUACUGAACUGUGCUUAGCAUCUACUAUAAUUGUUACGUUGUCCAUUGGAUCAAAUGAUCUGGAUCCGAACUGGCAUAAUAUCAGUCUGGUUGUAAUAAUUAUAAGAGUUUAAACCAUCAAUCAUGAAACGCAGGACCCGAGGCGAUGGUAGAGUGGGAAAUGGCAUAUUUUGUAUACUUAGAUUUUGUAUAAAAAGUGCUAUACUUAUGCCAUAGAGAGUAUAAGUAUCUAGAGGGUUUAACUUUUGCUUCUGCUUGGUCGAUCUGUGUCUCACGAUUAUAAAUUAUAAGCUAAUCAAUUUGUACAAAUAGUCCAUUAUAAUGUUAUAUUUUAAGAACGGAGUAUUGAAUUUUUUGGAGGACACAAUUCCCAAUUAUCAAGUUUAAAAAAGCAAAAAAGUUAUAUAAACAUGUAGGCAAAACAAUUUGCUACAAUUUUUUUGUAAGACGCAUAGUUUCCAAGUUAUCACGAAAAAGGUGUUUUCACCCCUUUUUUAAAUGUCGGCCGGGGGACAAGGGUGGCGAUCUCAAAACCUUGAGGUUAAGUUUCUAUUGACCUCCCACACAUGUCCUAAAAAUAAAAUUGCGUCCUCUAUAAAAUGCAAAGCUCAUGUAACAUUUCAAUGGCGUAAAAGCAUUAUAUGCCAGACCAAUUGUAACGAAUAUGUCGUACAAAUAUGGUAGAAUGUAGAGAGCUCCUGAAACCAUUGUUGUAUAUUUUCAUUUUUCAGAGAAAAGUUGUGUUAUUUUUAAAAUAAAAUGUAUACAUUGAAGGUAAUUGAUAGUACGUGUUUUACUAUCAAUCGUUACCAUUAUCAAAGUAAUUUACAUUGUGAUUUGCGGAUUUCAACUUUUGGAAAGAGGUUUACAUCCGUAUAGUGCACGUGGAACUUUUAUACAUAGACAGUUUCGCCUUUUUAUAUUAUCUACUAGAAGUUAGCUAAUGUAAAUUCAACAGGUAAGUCGAAAUGAACUUUUUUCUUAAAAAUGAAAAUAUACAGUGGUGCUAAUUUGACUGUACACAAUUCUCUCCGCGUAAUGGAAGAUUAACUUAGUUAACUAAGUAGUAACCUAUAUAUGUCUGCCUGUUUACAGCCAUAUUGUCGUGAAAUCAGAAUAUUAUUUAUUUAUCUUUAUUUGUAGCUAUAAUAACUAUUGCGAUGCCAAAAAAAAAAAAAAAAAAUUCAGAAUUUAAAUUAACUGUUGUAACGCACUACUAAUUUCACCUUCAAUUUAUACUCCAGUCAAAUAAGAAUUUUACUGAUAAACUGAUAUUUAAAUAUUAAUGAGACAACUGUAAAAGAACAACAAAAUGAAAGUGUACACGUGUUUACAGCUUAUAAUUCAUCACAAGGUUGGCUACUUUAUUUUCCUUAAUUGACUGGCGUAUUAGUAAAUUUC